UAAGUUGUAUCGAUGGAUCACUUGGUUCGUGGGUCGAUGAAGAUCGCAGUGAAUUGCGAUAAGAAGUACGAAUUACAGAUAUUAUGAGUGCCAUGUUAUCGAAUGCAUAUUGCGUUGUUGGGUUUUGCCCUUCAACAUAAGCAAUUCAGGGUGUUU
rnacentral:rRNA from 1 species